UACAGGGGGGGGCAAGCGUUGUUCGGAAUUACUGGGCGUAAAGGGCUCGUAGGCGGCCAACUAAGUCCGACGUGAAAUCCCAAGGCUUAACCUUGGAACUGCGUCGGAUACUGGAUGGCUUGAAUUCGGGAGAGGGAUGCGGAAUUCCAGGUGUAGCGGUGAAAUGCGUAGAUAUCUGGAGGAACACCGGUGGCGAAGGCGGCAUCCUGGACCGAGAUUGACGCUGAGGCGCGAAAGCCAGGGGAGCAAACGGG
rnacentral:rRNA from 1 species